UACAGAGGGUGCGAGCGUUACUCGGAAUUACUGGGCGUAAAGCGUGCGUAGACGGUUAUUUAAGUCGGGUGUGAAAGCCCCGGGCUCAACCUGGGAAUUGCAUUCGAGACUGAAUAGCUAGGGUACGGUAGAGGGAAGUGGAAUUUCCGGUGUAGCGGUGAAAUGCGUAGAUAUCGGAAGGAACACCAGUGGCGAAAGCGGCUUCCUGGACCAGUACCGACGUUCAGGCACGAAAGCGUGGGGAGCAAACAGG
rnacentral:rRNA from 1 species